rnacentral:SRP_RNA from 1 species
GCCGGGCACGGUGGCUCAUGCCUGUAAUCCCAGCACUUUGGGAGGCUGAGGCAGGUGGAUCACCUGAGGUCAGGAGUUCAAGACCAGCCUGGCCAACAUGGUGAAACCCUGUCUUUA